GAACUUUAUUUUUAUUUUUUGCCACUUGACUGCAUCCAAAGUCAGGCAGAAUGAGAGACAAUCUUAAAACAGAUAAGAGGUGAUGGCAAAUGCAUUCAAAACCAAAUAAUAAAAUCAUCUGUUAGUGGUGGUGAAGAUGUUACUUAAACAGAAAUUAUGCUAGCAUCUGUGACAACUUCUGUGCUACAUUUGGGAGUCCAUUCCGAUGAGGAGUUUUACAAGGAUUUCUGUGGAUCUUUUGCAUCCUCUUCUGCUGUCCUGUGUUCUGAGACGGGUCUCAUUUCCACCAAGAGAUGGAAUUUUGCUUAACACAAAAAGGAACUAAGGUGGAGUAGCUCCUGAGAGUUACUUUGUGCUGACAGACAAUUUUAAGUUCACAUUCGUAAGGUUUAUUAUAUGAAGCAGUAGUGCUGGACCCAAUUAAAUUCUUGGAGGUUUAAUGCCAAGUACAGAAAGAGGAGGAAAGAAAAGAAGAUAAAAUGGUCUACUGGAAGGAAUAGAGAAGAAGGAAAGCUUGCUUUCUCAUUCAGCUCUUCAAGCCAAGACUUGGCAAAGGAAGGACAGUGCUGUACAAGAGCCCAAGAAUUAGUUUGCAUUUGACCUAAAUGAUCUUUCAGAAGAGCGGCCAAGCUGAAGAGAUGAAGAAACUACCAAAGUUCUUAGAAGCUUGUUCUAAUAGUAGAAGCAUUCCUACUUUUUCCUGAAAAUAAAAUGUCUUCUCUAGCAUCACAUUUCAGCAAUUUGUUCUUGUUAUCCCUUAGAAACAGAAGCCAGAUAGUACUUACUUUAGGCAGUGUUUUGUUGUGUUUUUUUUUUGUUAUUGUUGUUUUGUUUGUUUGUUUGUUUCCCUCUGAAGUGGUACACUGUAAGUAGAUCUCCUUUCAGACCUCUCUUUAGAAGUUAAAUACAUUCCUCUCUUUAAAUGCUUGUCUUUGAGCCAUGGGGUUUAUUUGAGAGCCAAUUCUCCAUACUUCGUAGCUCCCAAAUUUUAUAUCUUGCUGACUAUUAAAAUUAUUUUCACCAUUUUUUUCUAAAUUAUACAUGACGUCUACCUUUCACUACUGUGAUAGGCCUUGAGGUCAAAGUAUUCCCCUUUAUUGAAUGUGGAAACUUUUGGUUUUGUGAGGUAAAACCAUUCUCAAAAUAUUUCUGAUUUUUAGUAUUCAUUUCUAUCCAGCUCUUUCAUUUAAUUUAUUGCAGAUGGAAAGGGAAAACAAAAAACACAGAAAAAAAAAUCAUUUUCAAUUAAUGGGAAGUAGUCAGUGUAAAGUUAAGACAAAGAAUCAAGCUAUAUAAAUACAUGUUGCAUUAAACACAGGAAAAAUGAACAGUAUAUCAAGAUGUAUACUGAUUCGAUACAGACUGUAAGAUUUCUCCCAGCAGUUUUCGAUAGGGUCUUAGGUCUUCCAUA